rnacentral:tRNA from 1 species
GUUUCCAUAGUGUAGUGGUUAUCACGUCGGCCUAACACGCAGAAGGUCCUCAGUUCGAUCCUGGGUGGAAACA